rnacentral:RNase_P_RNA from 1 species
AUUGCAAAACGUUCUAUCGCUGCCCGAUUAUUCGGGCGGAGGAAAGUCCGGGCAACAUAGAGCAUCCUGCUUCCUAACGGGAAGGCGCCUCUUAUACAGCGGGUGACAGCAAGUGCCACAGAGAAUAUACCGCCAUGCCUUGUGCGUGGUAAGGGUGAAAACGUGAGGUAAGAGCUCACGGCUGGUAUAGGCGACUAUGCCUGCGGUAAACCUCAGGAGUUGAAAGACCAAAUAGGUCCUGAAUUAAGAAGUUGCUCGCUUCUGUGUGUGGCUUCGGCCGCACGGUCAGGAUGGGUAGGUUGCUGGAGGUAGCCGGCAACGGCUGCCCAAGAUUAAUGAUAGAAACUGCCGCAAGGCAGCACAGAACCCGGCUUACAGAUUUGCUGCUGUA